rnacentral:rRNA from 1 species
UGCUUUCUUUGCUGGCGACCGGCGCACGGGUGAGUAACACGUAUCCAACCUGCCCUUUACUCGGGGAUAGCCUUUCGAAAGAAAGAUUAAUACCCGAUGGCAUAAUGAUUCCGCAUGGUUUCAUUAUUAAAGGAUUCCGGUAAAGGAUGGGGAUGCGUUCCAUUAGGUUGUUGGUGAGGUAACGGCUCACCAAGCCUUCGAUGGAUAGGGGUUCUGAGAGGAAGGUCCCCCACAUUGGAACUGAGACACGGUCCAAACUCCUACGGGAGGCAGCAGUGAGGAAUAUUGGUCAAUGGGCGUUAGCCUGAACCAGCCAAGUAGCGUGAAGGAUGAAGGCUCUAUGGGUCGUAAACUUCUUUUAUAUAAGAAUAAAGUGCAGUAUGUAUACUGUUUUGUAUGUAUUAUAUGAAUAAGGAUCGGCUAACUCCGUGCCAGCAGCCGCGGUAAUACGGAGGAUCCGAGCGUUAUCCGGAUUUAUUGGGUUUAAAGGGAGCGUAGGUGGACUGGUAAGUCAGUUGUGAAAGUUUGCGGCUCAACCGUAAAAUUGCAGUUGAUACUGUCAGUCUUGAGUACAGUAGAGGUGGGCGGAAUUCGUGGUGUAGCGGUGAAAUGCUUAGAUAUCACGAAGAACUCCGAUUGCGAAGGCAGCUCACUGGACUGCAACUGACACUGAUGCUCGAAAGUGUGGGUAUCAAACAGG